UACAGAGGGUGCGAGCGUUAAUCGGAAUUAUUGGGCGUAAAGCGUGCGUAGACGGUCAUGUAAGUCGGAUGUGAAAGCCCCGGGCUCAACCUGGGAAUUGCAUUCGAGACUGCAUGGCUUGGGUGCGGAAGAGGGAAGCGGAAUUUCCGGUGUAGCGGUGAAAUGCGUAGAUAUCGGAAGGAACACCAGUGGCGAAAGCGGCUUCCUGGUCCGACACCGACGUUCAGGCACGAAAGCGUGGGGAGCAAACAGG
rnacentral:rRNA from 1 species